GGCCUAAUGGUCUAGUAGUAUGAUACUCCCUUCGGGAUUUUCGAAUCUCGCUUGUUUCCAAGCUUCAUUGGGAGUGGUCCUGGGUUCAAUUCCCAGUUAGGCCC